rnacentral:miRNA from 1 species
CGAUACAGAGAAGAUUAGCAUG